rnacentral:rRNA from 1 species
GCUACCAUGCAGUCGACGGUACAGGAGAGCUUGCUUCUUUGCUGACGAGUGGCGGACGGGUGAGUAAUGUCUGGGAACUGCCUGAUGGAGGGGGAUAACUACUGGAAACGGUAGCUAAUACCGCAUAACGUCGCAAGACCAAAGAGGGGGACCUUCGGGCCUCUUGCCAUCGGAUGUGCCCAGAUGGGAUUAGCUAGUAGGUGGGGUAACGGCUCACCUAGGCGACGAUCCCUAGCUGGUCUGAGAGGAUGACCAGCCACACUGGAACUGAGACACGGUCCAGACUCCUACGGGAGGCAGCAGUGGGGAAAUUGCACAAUGGGCGCACGCCUGAUGC